AUUCCAGCUCCAAUAGCGUAUAUUAAAGUUGUUGUGGUUAAAAAGCUCGUAGUUGGAUCUCAACAGCCUUGAAGCGGUUAACUUUGUAGUUUUACUGCUUUAUAGGCUGUGCUUUUGCUGGAGGUUUAGGGGUGCUCUUGAUCGAGUGUCUCUGGAUGCCAGCAGGUUUACUUUGAAAAAAUUAGAGUGCUCAAAGCAGGCUAAAAUGCCUGAAUAUUCGUGCAUGGAAUAAUAGAAUAGGAUGUCGAUCCUAUUUUGUUGGUAUUCGGGACUCGACAUAAUGAUAAAUAGGAACAGUUGGGGGCAUUCGUAUUUAAUAGUCAGAGGUGAAAUUCUUAGAUUUAUUAAAGACGAACUAAAGCGAGAGCAUUUGCCAAGGAUGUUUUCAUCA
rnacentral:rRNA from 1 species